CCCGCUGAACUUAAGCAUAUCAUUAAGCGGAGGAAAAGAAACUAACCAGGAUUCCCCUAGUAACGGCGAGUGAAGCGGGAAGAGCUCAAGCUUAAAACCGGUGUUCCAUUGGGGACAUUGGAUUGUAGCCUAUAGAAAAGUUAUCCAGGAGGGACAGUGACCUAAAUGCCUUGGAACAGGCUGCCACGGAGGGUGAGAGCCCCGUCUUUGGUUGCUGUCCUAUUCUUUUGUGAUACUUUUUCGACGAGUCGGGUUGCUUGAGAGUGCAGCCUUAAGUGGGUGGUAUACUUCAUCUAAAGCUAAAUAUUGACACGAGACCGAUAGCGAACAAGUACCGUGAGGGAAAGAUGAAAAGAACUUUGAAAAGAGAGUUAAACAGUACGUGAAAUUGCUGAAAGGGAAACGCUUGAUGUCAGUCGCGUCGGCCGGGGAUCAGUCUGGCUUUAACUAGCUAGGCGUACUUCCUGGUCGACGGGUCAGCAUCAGUUUUGACCGUCGGAAAAGGGCUUGAGGAAUGUGGCACUCUCUUUACCGGGGGUGUGUUAUAGACUCUUGUCUUGAAUACGAUGGUUGGGACUGAGGAAACCGCAGCACGGCCUAUAUGGUUUUCGGGGCUUAGGCUCACGUUUAGCGUGCUUAGGAUGCUGGCAUAAUGGCCUUAAGCGACCCGUCUUGAAACACGG
rnacentral:rRNA from 1 species